rnacentral:rRNA from 1 species
GAUGAACGCUGGCGGCGUGCCUAAUACAUGCAAGUCGAGCGAACAGACGAGGAGCUUGCUCCUCUGACGUUAGCGGCGGACGGGUGAGUAACACGUGGAUAACCUACCUAUAAGACUGGGAUAACUUCGGGAAACCGGAGCUAAUACCGGAUAAUAUAUUGAACCGCAUGGCUCAAUAGUGAAAGACGGUUUUGCUGUCACUUAUAGAUGGAUCCGCGCCGCAUUAGCUAGUUGGUAAGGUAACGGCUUACCAAGGCAACGAUGCGUAGCCGACCUGAGAGGGUGGUCGGCCACACUGGAACUGAGACACGGUCCAGACUCCUACGGGAGGCAGCAGUAGGGAAUCUUCCGCAAUGGGCGAAAGCCUGACGGAGCAACGCCGCGUGAGUGAUGAAGGUCUUCGGAUCGUAAAACUCUGUUAUUAGGGAAGAACAAAUGUGUAAGUAACUAUGCACGUUUUGACGGUACCUAAUCAGAAAGCCACGGCUAACUACGUG